rnacentral:lncRNA from 1 species
GCAGAACCAGACUCAGCUGCCCCAAUUCAAGAAGCUCAAACCAAAACAUCUAUGGGAAAAGGAAAGUUUGAGAAAGAACAAGAGUUUUCUCUGUUCUUACCUCACUCUGAAUCUAAUUUUGAUAAUUCCUUUGAUGAACUAACUUGUCUUGAACCGGUGCAACCGAGUAGAAUUGUUUCAGUGUCACAGGUUGCAAAAGAAGACUCAGCAGAAAAAGAACCAGAGAGUACAACACAAGAGGAACAACAGAAAAACUUGCAGACAGAAUCAGCUCAUGAAUCUUUGUCUUAUGAUCUGCAAGAGCACUGUAAGGAGUUUAAUAUGGUUGCUUCUGUGCCUAGAAUGUUUGUUAAAGUGAGUACUGAAGACAUAAAACGUUUUGGUCUUGAUAAAGUAAAAGAUUUUUGUGUUUCAAAUUCUGUUUUUGAUAACAUGUUUAAAUCUUUUAAAGAACUUAAACCAGAAAUCAUCUUUGAUCAAAAACGUUUUCAAAAUCAAAAUAAUAACAUUUCUGGUCAUAUUCUGAGUUUUGAUCAUUUUCUGAAACAUGGGAAAAGUUUUGAUCAUUUUGAAAAGGUUUUAGAGCUUGAAUUGAAACAAUCUGAUUUCUGUUUGAAACCUUGUGAUUCAUUUGUUAGAACUGAAGAAAGAAGUUUUGUUACGAACUUCCAUGUGCAUAAACUGAUCCUUGAUAAUUCUUUUGUUUCUGCUUAUGAAUUGAAUGAACCUAAGAAGUUGCAGGAACCGAAAUUGCAUAAAUCUGAUUUUAGAUUUAAAUUUGUGAAAUCUGCAAAGUUCUCUAAGUUUGAGCUUGAUAAUGAUUCUAAACAUGUAGGUUGGUUCUUUGAUGAUAUUCUAGUGUAUAACACUCUCUUUGAUAAACCUGCUGCACAAUUGAAACUAGAUAUCACUGAUUCUGAAUGUGUGAACUUGAACCUUAAUGAUAUUUGGGUCUACAAUACUUCCUUUGAUAUGAUAACACACUUGACUUGUCCAAAAAGAGCUGAGAAGUGUACAGGUAAAAAGAGGGGCUAUACUGAUGAGUCCUUGGCUAAGCUGGAGAUGCAACAAUCAAAUCUUGGAAGCUGUCUAGCCGCCAACUCUGACAUAGGAGCAGUCCGAGGAUCAUAUCUCAGCAACCAGAAGGAAUUAAGCAACAAACUCAACUGCAAUGGAAACUACACUCAUCAGGGUCUCACGUCGAACUGGAAUCAUGUCCAAAGCUUCUCAAAUGAAAGAGUUAUGGGUUCUACAAGACGGGUGAUUCUGUGUUUGCUUUGUCUGAACUUUUCUAAGUGUAGAACAUCUCAAUCCUAUCUAUGGCGACCAGGUGAGCAUGCUAAGGUAACUAAUCAUGUUUUCAAGAGUUCUUUUAUUGAUUACACAGAUAUGAUGCACUUGUUUUUGCCAAAAGAGUCAUGUGCAGAUUAUAUGGAAGCUUUGAAGAAUGCAAAGAGAAAGAACAAGCGUGAGGAAGACAAACGUUUCAAGCUGCCUGAUCUAAGCCAGGAGAGACAUCAUGACGUCACUUGCUUCAUCCUCAUCAAAGAAGCACCUCCAGAUGCAGCAUACAAGCCAAAACCGAUAAAAUACAACUUUGGGAUAAUACUCUUACUCUAUGAUGUUUUUGCUUGUGUUCACUUAUCUUGUUUCAAUGUAUCAGGUUUAAGUAAUGCCUCAGGAGUAAGGAGAGCCAAAUGGAUCAGUCCCUUCUAUAUAAUAGAACCAGUCAGCGACAAUGCCUAUCAAAGAGGCUUGCAAGGUAAGUGUAAUCUGAUUAUAAACUCUGAUGUUACUGACUUGGUCCCUUCUAUUGCAGGUAACACAGAUUUGAGGACAAAUCUUUUUGAAGUGGGAGGGGAUGAUAUGAUCAUGGAAAGCACCAAGGACUGGAAGCAUGAACCUGAACCUGAAGAGCUUGUAGCUGAGGAUGCAACCUUGAAGAACAUUUGGAAACAAGAAGAAUACAUUAGUCUUGGCCGAAGCUUGAUCAUCCAAGACACCUUAACCAUCAUUCAAGCUACUCCACCUUCAAGCUGAUCAUCAUCUAGGCAAGUAGCUUGUGUGUGCUCUUUUCCUAACCUUUGGUUUUGUCCCACUGGGUUUUCCAAAGGAAGGUUUUUAAUGAGGCCACAAGUUACUUCUCCUAUCUCCUAGAUGAUUGAUCUUGGUCUGUCCACAUGAAGACCUUAUGUUAUAUAAUUUUAUCUAAGUUUUUAUGCUAUGUUUUUAUUUUCGAAAACUCUAGUCUUUGUUGUGUUUCCAAGGGAGCCUUGUCUUUAUUUUCUUUGUAUUUUCGAGACCUUGUGCAUGUACAAGGCUUCUCCUUUAUAUUCUGGUCGUGGCCCCUUGUAUCAGUAUCCAUCUUUUUAUCAAAAACCUUUGUUUUCUCUUUUCUUCUUGCUUGUCGAGUUGAUUGAGUGUUGGUGUGUAAUAUCCAACUUCUGGUGUGUAAUAUCCAGAGACUAAGGGCUCUAGUUUGGUGUGUCAUAUCCGAUCUAUUGCCUAGGAGUAUCAAGGAGCCUUUCCGCAGCCUCUUGUGUCACCAUUCGAUCCACAUACCUUGAGAAGCUUGAGUCUUUUGAUUCGUUUCUGCAAGGAUUAUCCCAUCUGUUCCAGAGCAUCAUCCUAGGAUCUCAUUAAGUGGUAUCAGAGCAACUCUGGAAGGGAAGUGUUCAUCUUUCUCUAUGAUUUUCGAUUCGUCUCUUCAUAUUCAUGCUGGAAACUGAUAGAUCUGUGUUGUGGCUGUCGAAAUCUGAUAGAUUAAGGUUAUCUGAUUUCGUUUUUGUGUUAAAAACUCUUCAUAUACCUUGCUGAGAAAGUUUUCUGAUUUACUUGAUCAAUCUGUUUCUGUUUCUGAAAUUUCGAAUUGUUUCUGUCUUGAUCUACUCUGUUUUGAUUAAACUUGAUGUACUGGACUUGAAAGUGAACCUGAAAUCAAAAUCUCUCUGUUCUGUUUCGAAAUCAAUCUGAUCUGUUAGGUUUGGGAUUUAUCAGUUCUGUUCAGAUUAGUUUUGAUCUGUUUUAAAUCAUUGGUUGAGUUUUUAAUUUGUUCUGAGAAUUGUCUAAGGUUUUAAGCUUCAGUUUGAAUCUGUUUCUGGUUUUGCAAAUUGAUUUUUGUUUUCUCUGUAGAACUUGUUACUGCUGUGUGUUGUUUUCUGUCUCAGGUACUAUGGCAGGAGAUCAGAACGGAAAGCUCACUAAGGAAGAAAGGCUGUUACUUAAAUCUAUGAAUGCUCAUCUGCAGCAGAUGAUGGAUAACAACAUGGGUGAAUUUCAAAAGGAGCUUAGACAAAAGUUUCUGCAGCAAACUGAUGAUCUUAGGCAGAAAAAUAAAAAGAGAAUGGACAGUCAAAAGCUUGAGCCAAGAUCACCCGAUUCUGUUCAAAACAAGUCAAGCAAGCAUAAGUGGUAUAAGGAAGAGGAAGCAGGACGUGGACAACAGUCUUACAAACAGACAGGCCACACUUCGAGCAGACCACAUCAAGCUUCUCGCACUCCUAAAUCAAAUAUUCAUUCUUCUUACAAUCAAAUUGUCACUAAGCCUCAACUUUAUGUUUUUACAGGGGAAGGUGAUUAUUUAAAGUGGGAAAGAACAAUGGAGAAGUGGCUUUGCUACAACAAAAUCCUGAAGAGAGAAGCAUUGGCUUAUGUGAUGUCUCAGCUCAAAGGAAACGUUUUUAAGUGGUUGUUGCAAGAAGAAGAUGAUCGCAGGUACUACAAGGAACCAGCUAUCACCACUUGGGAAGAUCUGAAGUUGCUACUAAGGAAGAAGUAUGCAUCCAAAGGCCACACUUCUCUGAAAUCUCCAAAGAAGAAAGUCAUAUCCGCAACAGACUUCAAAAGUGAAAAAUCAGAAACCAAGAUGGCUGAUUAUGAGAAAGAAAUCAGCAGCCUUGUUAAGGAGAUUCUUAAGACCAGCAAGCACUUGGACAAGCAGAAGAAGCUCCCAAAGAAUCAAGAACCAGUUGCUACUGUCUCAGAACUCAAUGAUGCAGAACCAGACUCAGCUGCCCCAAUUCAAGAAGCUCAAACCAAAACAUCUAUGGGAAAAGGAAAGUUUGAGAAAGAACAAGAGUUUUCUCUGUUCUUACCUCACUCUGAAUCUAAUUUUGAUAAUUCCUUUGAUGAACUAACUUGUCUUGAACCGGUGCAACCGAGUAGAAUUGUUUCAGUGUCACAGGUUGCAAAAGAAGACUCAGCAGAAAAAGAACCAGAGAGUACAACACAAGAGGAACAACAGAAAAACUUGCAGACAGAAUCAGCUCAUGAAUCUUUGUCUUAUGAUCUGCAAGAGCACUGUAAGGAGUUUAAUAUGGUUGCUUCUGUGCCUAGAAUGUUUGUUAAAGUGAGUACUGAAGACAUAAAACGUUUUGGUCUUGAUAAAGUAAA